rnacentral:rRNA from 1 species
UACGAAGGGGGCUAGCGUUGUUCGGAAUUACUGGGCGUAAAGGGCGCGUAGGCGGUGUGUCAAGUCAGGCGUGAAAGCCCCGGGCUCAACCUGGGAACCGCGCUUGAGACUGGCACGCUCGAGUCCGGGAGAGGAUGGUGGAAUUCCCAGUGUAGAGGUGAAAUUCGUAGAUAUCGAGAGGAACACCGGUGGCGAAGGCGGCUACCUGGACAGUGACUGACGCUGAGACGCGAAAGCGUGGGGAGCAAACAGG